CUCUGCCACCCUUGCUAGGAGAACAAGCUGUGAAUUACUAAUGGGCAGGCGUGCAGGCACAGUGAGUGUAUUAUGGCCAAGUCAGAAUAGUGAAUGCAACAGCCAUGGGGCCUGGACCCAUUUGCACCCAGCACAGUGAAUUCACUGCGGGGAAAUCCACCAAAUCUCCCUCCUGCCAACGUUUUCAAGACUCUCCCUCCAGAUGCUGGAUGACAUGAUGAGCCUGGCUGGGAGCCCACUCUCUGCUCCAUCGGCCCACCCUCCCUUUGUGUUGUCUGUGGGUGGAGUAAGCUGUUGCCAACCGUGGCCAAAUGAAAAGCCCGAUGCCCUCCCUUCUCUCUAAAAGCUAUUUAUUGUUUUCCGAGGAGCCAGCCAUCAAAGAGAUCUCCUGUGCCCCACGCACUCCUCCCAACUCCCAGUUUUUGACUGAAAAAAUGCUAACAUCCGACCAGAUACCAGAAAAACAUCCUGAAAGACAAUGCCUGGACUCUUAUUUCCUAGGGAGCAGGACCAGGGCUUAUUACCACAUCAGCCUAUCUUGUUUUUACUGCUGUGAUGUUGCUGACAACAUAGCUGAAAUCUCCAACGUCUCCUUGUUCCUACCAGCAUUGAUUGGUUAUAUUUAAGCCUUCGUCCAGACCCACUUAUUCUCCGUUUCAUCUCAUUUUCUUCCCUGGCUCAGCGCGGUGCCAAGAAUUCUCUGGCUUUACACCCUGGAAGUGUGUUAUGAUGAGAUUCAAGAAACAAAAUGUGUGCAGAGAAGAUGCAAAUGGGUCACGUUGAUCUCCCAGCAGGGGUUAUUCAGAUAAUCCAGAAUAUUCUUACACAAAGUUUUUAAUAUUAUCAACAAAAUGCAAGAAAAAAUUUAAAAAAUUAUUGCAAAAAAGCAUGAGGUCCAAGAACACAUCUAAAGACCCCAGUUGGAGUGAAAUGGGUAUGGGGCAUGGGGAGGAAGGAUGGAGGCAACUGACACAGGAAGAGACAUUGUCUUUCUUCUGAAGGCAAUGAGGACGGCUAACCCUCACAAUGCGGUUUAUAUUACUCAGCAUCUUCUUUCAGUCUCUCUCCCUCCUUCCUUCCCUCUCCCUGUCUCUCUCUCUCCCUUCUUUCAUUCUUUCUGGGACAGAGUCUCACUCUGUUGCCCAAGCUGG
rnacentral:lncRNA from 10 species